UGGGGAAUAUUGCACAAUGGGCGCAAGCCUGAUGCAGCAACGCCGCGUGAGGGACGACGGCCUUCGGGUUGUAAACCUCUUUUAGUAGGGAAGAAGCGAAAGUGACGGUACCUGCAGAAAAAGCACCGGCUAACUACGUGCCAGCAGCCGCGGUAAUACGUAGGGUGCGAGCGUUGUCCGGAAUUAUUGGGCGUAAAGAGCUCGUAGGCGGUCUGUCGCGUCUGCUGUGAAAACCCCGAGGCUCAACCUCGGGCCUGCAGUGGGUACGGGCAGACUAGAGUGCGGUAGGGGAGAAUGGAAUUCCUGGUGUAGCGGUGGAAUGCGCAGAUAUCAGGAGGAACACCGAUGGCGAAGGCAGUUCUCUGGGCCGUAACUGACGCUGAGGAGCGAAAGCGUGGGGAGCGAACAGGAUUAGAUACCCUGGUAGUCCACGCCGUAAACGUUGGGCGCUAGAUGUGGGGACCAUUCCACGGUUUCCGUGUCGCAGCUAACGCAUUAAGCGCCCCGCCUGGGGAGUACGGCCGCAAGGCU
rnacentral:rRNA from 1 species